rnacentral:rRNA from 1 species
AUUGAACGCUGGCGGCAGGCUUAACACAUGCAAGUCGAGCGGAGAUGAGGUGCUUGCACCUUAUCUUAGCGGCGGACGGGUGAGUAAUGCCUAGGAAUCUGCCAUUUAGUGGGGGACAACAUUCCGAAAGGAAUGCUAAUACCGCAUACGUCCUACGGGAGAAAGCAGGGGAUCUUCGGACCUUGCGCUAAAUGAUGAGCCUAAGUCGGAUUAGCUAGUUGGUGGGGUAAAGGCCUACCAAGGCGACGAUCUGUAGCGGGUCUGAGAGGAUGAUCCGCCACACUGGGACGGAGACACGGCCCAGAAUCCUACGGGAGGCAGCAGUGGGGAAUAUUGGACAAUGGGCGGAAGCCUGAUCCAGCCAUGCCGCGUGUGUGAAGAAGGCCUUUUGGUUGUAAAGCACUUUAAGCGAGGAGGAGGCUACCUGGAUUAAUACUCUGGGAUAGUGGACGUUACUCGCAGAAUAAGCACCGGCUAACUCUGUGCCAGCCGCCGCCGUAA